GGGGGCGAACAGGGUUCGACAUUUCUACUGGACUCCGAAACGCAUGCCAAGAUUGUGGUAAUUCUUGUAAAACAUACUACAAAAAAUUUAGUUGCAAAUAACGACAACUACGCUUUAGCAGCUUAAUGCUAACCGAUGCCAGAAUUGACUAUGGUUUGAAGCAUCGGCAAAUCACAUAGUCUAGCCAAGCUGUGUUGCUUGGACACAGUUUGGUUAAACUUAAUCAAGCUCGCUUUUGCACCCUGCUCCUCGGGUCGAAAAAGUUAAAAAGCCAAUUGGGUGAGCUAUGCAUGUAGAAGUUAGGCUGAAGGAUUAAUGGACGCGGGUUCAAUUCCCGCCGCCUCCACCA
rnacentral:tmRNA from 1 species